rnacentral:rRNA from 1 species
UACGAAGGGGGCUAGCGUUGCUCGGAAUCACUGGGCGUAAAGCGCACGUAGGCGGAUUGUUAAGUCAGGGGUGAAAUCCUGGAGCUCAACUCCAGAACUGCCUUUGAUACUGACGGUCUUGAGUUCGGGAGAGGUGAGUGGAACUGCGAGUGUAGAGGUGAAAUUCGUAGAUAUUCGCAAGAACACCAGUGGCGAAGGCGGCUCACUGGCCCGGUACUGACGCUGAGGCACGAAAGCGUGGGGAGCAAACAGG